rnacentral:tRNA from 1 species
GGCAUAGCGCAGCCUGGUAGCGCGUCUGCUUUGGGAGCAGAAGGUCACAGGUUCGAAUCCUGUUGCC